GACGAACGCUGGCGGCGCGCUUAACACAUGCAAGUCGAACGGAAAGGCCCUGCUUUUGUGGGGUGCUCGAGUGGCGAACGGGUGAGUAACACGUGAGUAACCUGCCCUUGACUUUGGGAUAACUUCAGGAAACUGGGGCUAAUACCGGAUAGGAGCUCCUGCUGCAUGGUGGGGGUUGGAAAGUUUCGGCGGUUGGGGAUGGACUCGCGGCUUAUCAGCUUGUUGGUGGGGUAGUGGCUUACCAAGGCUUUGACGGGUAGCCGGCCUGAGAGGGUGACCGGCCACAUUGGGACUGAGAUACGGCCCAGACUCCUACGGGAGGCAGCAGUGGGGAAUAUUGCACAAUGGGCGGAAGCCUGAUGCAACAACGCCGCGUGCGGGAUGACGGCCUUCGGGUUGUAAACCGCUUUCGCCUGUGACGAAGCGUGAGUGACGGUAAUGGGUAAAGAAGCACCGGCUAACUACGUG
rnacentral:rRNA from 1 species